GUUGCAUGGCUGUCGUCAGCUCGUGUCGUGAGAUGUUCGGUUAAGUCCGCUAACGAGCGCAACCCUCGCUGUAUGUUACAUGUGUCAUACAGGACCGCCGGUAUCAAGCCGGAGGAAGGUGGGGAUGACGUCAAGUCCGCAUGGCCUUUAUGUCCGGGGCUACACACACGCUACAAUGGUCGGUACAAUGGGUUGCUAAGCCGCGAGGUGGAGCCAAUCCCCCAAAGCCGGCCUCAGUUCAGAUUGCAGGCUGCAACUCGCCUGCAUGAAGCUGGAGUUGCUAGUAAACGCGCGUCAGCUAUAGUGCGUUGAAUACGUUCUCGGGCCUU
rnacentral:rRNA from 1 species